GCGGUGUGGGCCUGCUGGUCUUUCAUCCGUCCACACAGGCACACACACGGCGCCUUCUUCCUUUUCUAGGCAAUGGAUCCGUGGAGUUCUACGACUGAAUCCUGUGGAGGGAGAUGAAAGACCGUGGCAGUGUUGAAAUGAGCUGCAGGAAAUGUUAACGCUGGAAAGCCAGAACAAAGAUGAAAAAUGGGAAAUACUAAAAUGAAUGUAACAAAUCCCAUUUUCACAAGACAAAUCAACAGUGGGAUUCAUUACUGCACGGAGGCAGGUGCCCCUUACAUGGAGAAGAAAUAGCAAUUAUUCUGCAGGAAACUAAAAUGGACUCUUUCAGAGAGGGGACUGAAAUAACACCCAAGGCUCAGCUCCUUCGCUGCAUCUCUGGUACUCAGAUUAAUGAGUCUGUAAUCAAGAAUGGCUUUUAAAGAAUAUAAGCAGAACUGGGAUGCCCUGGGCCACCAAGUUAGCCACCGUGUGCUAAUAGAGCUGACAGAGCUCAGGCUAGGAGCAGAACAAAUUAAUCUGGGAGAUUAUGGCCACAGUUCAGCAAAGCACAGGUUUCAUCCUAUUCUUCCCCCAAGAGCUUACGAUCGAAACAUACCUGAGUGGUGAAAGAGAUAUUAUUAUCCUGCUGCGGAGCUGGGGAAAGGUUAAGUGACGUGGGUAAGUCACACAGGGAGCCUGUGUCAGAGCAAGGAAUUGAGCCUCGCUCUACUGGCCACCCGUAUAGCUCCUUAAGACUGAGGCCAGCAUGAGCCUAUUUGCUGACCUCUUAUUCCUUCCUCUAAUCCACAGCUGGCCCCCCCAUGGCCCUUCACAUGAUCAGGCCUCUGAGGGGAUGAGAUGCCUCUGCAUGGCAGUUCCUGCUAUUAGAUCCAUCAUUCUAUUUCUUUCUUCCCCCUCUCCUUUCUAUCCCACUUCAUAGUCCUUCUAAACGUGCCUCCUCUCCCUGGCCUUUACCACCUGAACUGUUCUGGCCUCGGAUUUGUACUGUGUGCUGAUGGCAUGAAACUAGCGUGAAUGCUGCCACUGCACAACACACAGCAAUACUGCACCGUGCCGCUGACAGUUUGCAGACAAUGGACAUAGAUUCCAGGAGCAUGCACUGUGCUAACAUAAGGCCUGCUUUAAAAGCCAUUGAAGUUAAUGGGAAGAGAAGAUUCCCAUGAGUCCAGUAGAUCAGGCCCCGAAUCAUGCAGCGCUGGCUUUGGAAUCAUGCAACUAUUAUUCAUAUUUGACCUGAGACAAUGUGUACUUUCCAGUGACUGCAGCUGUUGGAAAAAGUGGGAAUGAUUUAUUACAUAUAAAAUUAUAUUGAAUUAUAGAAAUUAGAAAUAAAAAAUGUUCUGUAAGAAGUCCCUAUGAAGUAGAAUCCUAACAAUAUAACCACAAUAAUAGGCUGUAAUGUAAUGUCUAAUGGAAACCAAAUAUUUUUAUUACAGCA